rnacentral:rRNA from 1 species
UACGGAGACUGCAAGCGUUACUCGGAUUCACUGGGCGUAAAGAGUAUGUAGGCGGUAGUGUGUGUCGGAUGUGAAAUCCCGAAGCUUAACUUCGGGGCUGCGUCCGAAACUGCACUUCUAGAGUCUUGGAGAGGGUAGUGGAAUUCUCAGUGUAGCGGUGAAAUGCGUAGAUAUUGAGAGGAACACCAAUGGCGAAGGCA